rnacentral:lncRNA from 1 species
AUGAUGUUUUUGAUGACAUCGAAAUAGAAUCUUUUGAUUUUAUAUGGGAAGAAUGGGAAGAAUAUAAGGGAGACGUUCCUCUAUGGCAACAUAUAUGUUGUGGAAGUAUUGCAGGGUUGAUGGAACAUGUUUGUAUGUAUCCAUUAGAUACUCUUAAAACAUAUUACCAAACGAAUGGUCAUUUCAAAGGUGCAUUAACAAAUAACAGUAAAGCAAAUAAUUGUAAUAAUAGUAGUAAUAUUCAUAUGAAUAACAAACAGUUUAAUAUGAUCAAAGAAAAUCCUAACUUACUAAAUAUUGAUAAAAAAAAAAUGUGUUCUUUAAAUAAAAGCUGUAUUAACUGUAUAUAUAAUAAUGCAUGUUAUCGUAAUAAUAAUUAUCACAUGGGAGCAAUUCCGUUUUACAAUAAAAAAAAUUUCUAUGUUUCAAAUGUAUUUAAUAAUCUAAGAAAGCAACAACAAAAUAAUAAAAGAAACAAAUUGAGUGGUAGUAAUGGUAUAUAUUUGAAAAGAAAUGCGACAACAGAAGCUUGCGUAAUGAAUAGAAAAUUGGAAGAGACAAAGAGAAUACAUACAAUGGAUACAAAAAAUUUGAGAAAAAGAAAUAGUAACAAAAAUUAUAGUGUUAAAAACAAAUAUGUAAUGUCCAAAUAUAAAUGUGGAUCUUCAUCGAAUAUAGUAAAAAUGUCUAUAAAUUUAAAUAAAGAUUCAUCCAAAGUUUUUAAUAACAACUGUUACAUUAACAAAUGUCAAAAUAACAUAAAUAAUACUAUGCUAAUUGAUGAUAAUAAACAAAUGACUUACAAACCAAUUUAUAACAGUUUAAAUGAUAGUAAAAAACAAGGGGGAAAUAGAAAAAGGAACAUUAUUUUAAAUAGUUCAAUUAAUAAGUUGUCAAAAAGAGUAAACAAUCAGUAUAGUACAAACAUAAACAAACGACUGCUAAAAAAGAAUUUACAUUUGUAUUUAGGCAGUUAUAAUGAGUUAAAGAACUCUCCAAAUGGAAUACCAAAUAAGGAUACAUUUAAAGGAAGAACUGCAGCAAAAGUUAAUUCAAAAAGGUAUAAAAAAGUAAAACAUUUACAACAAAUGGAUCAGUAUAAAUUUAUAAUAAAAAAUUUAAGAGUGCAAAAAUUAAAACACGCUAUACAAUUUAAUAAUAAACUGAAGUUACUACUUGAUAAGGUAGAUGCAAAUCAUUUAAACAUAUAUAAUAUUAUGAACACAAGAAAAAAUCGUAUGUUUUUAAUGAAUUCAAGUUUUUUAAAAGGUAAAUAUAUUCAAAAUGGGGAAAUAAAUUAUAAUAAUAGAUUUUUUUCGUCUAUUAAAAAUGUUCAUAUUUUAAAUAUAGUACAUAAUAUAAAAAAGAAUAUUGUUGAUAUAAUGAAUAAAUACUAUAAUAUAAAUAAUGAUAAUAAAAGGGUUAAAAAAAAUGAAUAUUGUUUAAAUUUUAGUUGUAACAGAUAUGGAUAUAAAGUAAUUGGCCAUGGUGGAAGCAUGAUUAAUAGUGACAUAAAGGCUAGUAGUAGGAAUAUUAUCAGUAAUGACAGCACCUUUCGUUCGCCAAUAAAAGAACUCAUUGCGAGGAAUAACCUUUUUGAAAAAUUGCACAAACCCUAUUUGUUUAACACGAACAGUAAUACAAAUAAACUAAACCAGUUGUUUUAUUUUUUUAAAAAUAUAAAAAAGAAAAUAGUUUUUUCAAAUUAUGAUACUGUAAACAAAAAUUCGUAUUUCAAACCGAGUACGGGAUUAAAUAAAAAUAGAUAUUUAAAUAAUUUUUUAUUUUUACGAACGAACAAUUCUAUUUUUUUUAAUAAUAUAUUAUGGUAUGUUAAAAAAAAUAACAAUCUAAAAAAAGUAAAUUGGUUUGGUGAUAAAUAUGACAUUAGUAAAUCAUUAAUAAAUAAAUAUCAAACUGAGUUAAAUUCAAAUAAUAAAAUUACUUCACAGUUUAGUAAAUAUAUUCAAAACUUUAAUAGGUUUAAUUUGUUUCAAAAUAUUUUAUUUUUCAAUAUGAACGCGAACAAAAUGAAUUUAAUAAAGAGACAUAAUAGUACAUUAAUAAAAAAUAAUGUUACUAGUUUAUACAAAGGAGUAAAUGUUGUAGUAUUAGGUUGUAUUCCAGCUCACGCGUUGUACUUUUCAACAUUUGAAUAUAGUAAGAAAUAUUUUUCAGGGAAAAACUUACAUACAGCUACGGUUACUACUACAACUUCCAUUUCUACCAAUAAUAACAAAAUAGAUCGAACACACUACAAAAUAAAUGAUUUAAAUUAUUCGAGCAUAGCUAUAUGUGGUCUUUUAGCAACGCUUGCUCAUGAUUUAAUAAUUUCACCCGUAGAUACGAUAAAACAAAGACUACAAUUAGGAAUAAACAAGAACUCUAUUGAUUCGAUAAAACUAUUAAAGGAAUAUGGAAUUAAGAGUUUAUAUUUGAGUUUACCGAUAACACUACUUAUGAACGUGCCUUAUCAGAUUAUCAUGAUUUGUACCAAUGAAAAAAUGAAGAAGAUUUAUUUUGAAUAUGUAAACAGUUUAACCAGUAGUAAUGUCGGAGGUAAAAACGAUUGUUCUAAUAAAUAUAAUGAUAAAAACCAGAAGAUGUCGAAAAACAAUAGUAAACAAUCACUUCCAGAUUGUACUACUGUAUACAAUACAGAAAAAAAUAACAUUCCAAUAAAUGAAACUGAUAAUGAUAAAAAAUAUGCUCAUAAUACUUUUAAUAAAAUGAAUAACUCAACAUAUGAUGUGAGUUUUAACGGUUCAAAAAUUCAUGGUCAUAGAAUAGCUGAUCUGUCGAUUGUUGGGGGGGUUAAAGAUAGCUACAUCAGUGGUAACAGCAGUGGUAACAGCAGUGGUAACAGCAGUGGUAACAGCAGUGGUAACAGCAGUGGUAACAGCAGUGGUAAUAGCAGUGGUAACAGCAGUGUUAGUAGCAGUGGUAACAGCAGUGGUAACAGCAGUGGUAACAGCAGUGGUAACAGCAAUGUUAGUAGCAGUGGUAGUAGCAGUGGUAGUAGCAGUGGUAACAGCAGUGAUAGCAGCAGUGGUAACAGCAACAACGCGGAAUUAAAUAAUAUACAUACAUUCGAUUAUAACAAAAACGACUUUUUAAACAAGCCAUUUAAUCAUGUUACUUCUUAUUUUAUAUGUGCUGGAAUAGGUGGGGGUAUAGCAGCUGUAAUAACAAACCCACUAGAUGUAAUAAAAACGAGAAUUCAAACUGGAUGCUUUAGUUCAAAAAGUUUUAGUUUUUUUAAAGUUGUGUCUGAUAUAUAUCAUAAAGAAGGACCUCAUACUUUUUUCAAAGGUUCCUUAGUAAGAAUGGCUUUAUGUAUACCUGCAUCGGCUAUAUCUUGGGGAACAUACG